UGUGAGAGCAAGAGCCCGGAGAUGGAUUCUGAGACACGAAUCCAGGCCCUACGGGGCGCAGCAGGCGCGAAAACUUUACAAUGCGAGAAAUCGUGAUAAGGGAACCCCGAGUGCCCGUAAAUUCGGGCUGUCCGCCAGUGCAAAUAGCUGGUGAAGAAAGGGCCGGGCAAGACCGGUGCCAGCCGCCGCGGUAAUACCGGCGGCUCGAGUGGUGGCCACUAUUACUGGGCUUAAAGCGUCCGUAGCUUGAUUGUUAAGUCUCUUGGGAAAUCCACCGGCUCAACCGAUGGGCGUUCAGGAGAAACUGGCAAUCUAGGGACCGGGAGAGGUGAGAGGUACUCCAGGGGUAGGAGUGAAAUCCUGUAAUCCUUGGGGGACCACCGAUGGCGAAGGCAUCUCACCAGAACGGCUCCGACAGUGAGGAACGAAAGCUGGGGGAGCAAACCGGAUUAGAUACCCGGGUAGUCCCAGCUGUAAACGAUGCGCGUUAGGUGUAUCGGUGACCACGAGUUACCGAGGUGCCGAAGGGAAACCGUGAAACGCG
rnacentral:rRNA from 1 species